GACAUGGCUCAGAGUGAACGCUGGCGGCAGGCCUAACACAUGCAAGUCGAGCGGCAGCGCGUCCGACCACCCUCGGGUGGUCGGAUGGCGGCGAGCGGCGGACGGGUGAGGAAUGCAUCGGAAUCUGCCUCGUUGUGGGGGAUAACGUAGGGAAACUUACGCUAAUACCGCAUACGACCUACGGGUGAAAGUGGGGGACCUUCGGGCCUCACGCGAUGAGAUGAGCCGAUGCCGGAUUAGCUAGUUGGCGGGGUAAAGGCCCACCAAGGCGACGAUCCGUAGCUGGUCUGAGAGGAUGAUCAGCCACACUGGAACUGAGACACGGUCCAGACUCCUACGGGAGGCAGCAGUGGGGAAUAUUGGACAAUGGGGGCAACCCUGAUCCAGCCAUGCCGCGUGUGUGAAGAAGGCCUUCGGGUUGUAAAGCACUUUUGUUGGGGAAGAAACCGGCCGGGUUAAUACCCUGGUUGAAUGACGGUACCCAAAGAAUAAGCACCGGCUAACUUCGUG
rnacentral:rRNA from 1 species